AACUUUGAUUGGGCAGGACUCUCGUCCUAACGUAGAUCUUCAGAAAAUGUUUGGCAGCCGAGUCUAACUGCUGGAUAAGUUAUGACAUGGCUCCUGAGUGGAGGGAACUUGAAACAAGACCAUCUGGCUCAGAGGCAUGGACAUUACCAUUGUGCCACAAGAACCAUUCAUGUUAUGCGUGAACAAGAAAUUAAAAGGUCAAUCAAGUCACAAGGAAUUCUUCAGACAUCAGGAGGAGGGAUAGUUUUCUGAGGAUAUCGAGUCAUAAGACUAGAGCACCCCCAAGCACCGAU